AAGGGCGAGGAACACGUGGGCAACCUGUCUACUGAGGUGGGGAAAACCGUUGGAAACGACGGCUAAUACCGAAUGUAGCGCCCGCUCGCAUGAGCGGAGCGCCAAAGGGGGCGAAAGCUCCCCCUCUCCGAGGGGCCCGCGCACCAUCAGCUUGUUGGCGGGGUAACGGCCCACCAAGGCUCACGGUUUAGCUGGUCUGAGAGGAUGGCCAGCCGCACUGGGACUGAGAUACUGCCCCAGACUCCUACGGGAGGCUGCAGUCGAGGAUCAUUUGCAAUGGGCGAAAGCCUGACAAUGCGACGCUGCCGUGGAGGAUGAAGGCCCUCGGGUUGUAAACUCCUGUCAUGGGGGAAAAGGAAAAGGGACCCAACACGUCCCCGAUUUGAUGGUACCCCAAGAGGAAGCGACGGCUAACUCUGUGCCAGCAGCGGC
rnacentral:rRNA from 1 species